rnacentral:rRNA from 1 species
UACGUAUGGGGCAAGCGUUAUCCGGAUCUACUGGGUGUAAAGGGAGCGUAGGCGGAGAAGCAAGUUAGUUGUGAAAUCCCUCGGCUUAACUGAGGAACUGCAACUAAAACUACUUCCCUUGAGUACUGGAGAGGAAAGUGGAAUUCCUAGUGUAGCGGUGAAAUGCGUAGAUAUUAGGAGGAACACCAGUGGCGAAGGCGACUUUCUGGACAGUAACUGACGUUGAGGCACGAAAGUGUGGGGAGCAAACAGG